rnacentral:rRNA from 1 species
GACGAACGCUGGCGGCGGGCUUAACACAUGCAAGUCGAACGGAAAGGCCCUGCUUUUGUGGGGUGCUCGAGUGGCGAGCGGGUGAGUAACACGGGAGUAACCUGCCCUGGACUUUGGGAUAACUUCAGGAAACUGGGGAUAAUACAGGAUAGGAGCUCCUGCUGCAUGGUGGGGGUUGGAAAGUUUGGGCGGUUGGGGAUGGAUGCGCGGCUUAUCAGCUUGUUGGGGGGGGAGUGGCUUACCAAGGCUUUGGCGGGUAGCCGGCCCGGGAGGGUGGCCAGCGUCCAUGGGCCUGCGGGACGGCCCAGUCUCCUACAGUAGGCAGCAGGGGGGAAUAUUGUACAACGGGGCGGCGCCUGAUGAGACGAUGCCCGGUGCGGGAAGAACGCCUUCGUGGUGUAAACCGCUUUCGGCUGUUACCAAGCUGUAGUGACGUUAAUGGGUAAAGAAGCACCGGCUAACUACGUG